AUUGGGUAAGACGAUCGGCUGGAUCUUCGGAUCUCCCCGAUAUGAACCUUCCCGUGCUUUUUAGAACAUAGAUGGCACCAGUCAGGUGACUAUCGAAACGUAAUACGCCGCGAUGACUUCGGUCACGACGGUAUGGCGAGCUUUCGCCGUCCACGUUUCUCUUUCUUCAAAAGGAUAUCGAACCAUUGGUUUGCGCUCACGCACGUACCGCCCUUCGGGCUGUGCUCCGCGGGGGCGCCGGACGACCGGCGACGGCCUCUGGCCUGUAUGGGAGAGCCUUGAUAGGCUUGAAGUUCGGCGAGAUGGGCCCGUAGCUCAGUUGGUUAGAGCACACGCUUGAUAAGCGUGGGGUCGGAAGUUCAAGUCUUCCCGGGCCCACCAUUUGCAUUUGCGAAUGAUGUUUGCUGGUGCGAAUUGUGGUUUGUUUGGGUUUACUGAUCCUGGCGGUUUGCUGUCAGGUGUUUGCGAUGGUUGGGGCUGUAGCUCAGCUGGGAGAGCACCUGCUUUGCAAGCAGGGGGUCAGCGGUUCGAUCCCGCUCAGCUCCACCAAUUCGCUUGGUGUCGAGACUGAGAGAUAUCCUUUGAAGAAAUAAAAGUUUUGCAUCGGCUUAGGCUGGUGCGUGUUCUGCAUACAUUGUGAAGAGAAGAUUGAUCUGGAGGCUUCCAGGUGUUUUGGGUUUUGCCCAAGGCGUCCGAGCCCAGUUCCUGUGAAACCAUGGAUGGCCUAGCCGGCCGGAUGUGGUGGAGGGAUUGGAGGUAGGAGGGAAGCUUGUCGCUCUGGGUCGUUGUUGUUUGCUGUCUUUAGGGACGGCAUCUGACGGACGACUUGAUUACCGUUGCCUGACCGCGCGGUAUCGGAUCCAAUCUCGAGAAGCUGGUCUUAAGACAGGCUGCAAGCGAGCUGCUCGGCGUAGCUCCAAUAAAGCAGACCUGUCGAACACGUUAAUGGCAUUGUUAGAAAGCGUGAUUGUAAAAGGUAAUCACGCAUGUUUGGCCCGACUGCACGGCAAUCGCAAGGUUGUCCGGAUGGUCGGAUUUGGCACCCCGCGAGGCGAAAGCGAAGCGGACAAGGUCUGCCAAAUCAAACAAAGACGAUGAGCAUUGGCAAUGAGAACGAUUAAGUGUCGUAAGGGCAUUUGGUGGAUGCCUUGGCAUGCACAGGCGAUGAAGGACGUGAUACGCUGCGAAAAGCCGUGGGGAGCUGCGAAU
rnacentral:misc_RNA from 1 species